rnacentral:rRNA from 1 species
CCCGCUGAACUUAAGCAUAUCAAUAAGCGGAGGAAAAGAAACUAACAAGGAUUCCCCUAGUAACUGCGAGUGAAGCGGGAAGAGCUCAAAUUUGAAAUCUGGCAGUCACUUGGCUGUCCGAGUAGUAUUCUAGAGAAGUGUUGCCCGUGCUGGACCAUGUACAAGUCUCCUGGAAUGGAGCAUCACAGAGGGUGAGAAUCCUGUCUUUGACAUGGACUGCCAGUGCUUAUGCUCCACGCUCUCAAAGAGUCGAGUUGUUUGGGAAUGCAGCUCAAAAUGGGUGGUAAAUGCCAUCUAAAGCUAAAUAUUGGCGAGAGACCGAUAGCGAACAAGUACCGUGAGGGAAAGAUGAAAAGAACUUUGGAAAGAGAGUUAAACAGUACGUGAAAUUGCUGAAAGGGAAACGCUUGAAGUCAGUCACGUUGACUUGGAAUCAGCUCUGCUUUUGCUGGGUGUACUUUCUUGUCAAUGGGUCAGCAUCAAUUUUGACCAUUGGAUAAAGUUGCUGGGAAUGUAGCAUCCUUUUGGAUGUGUUAUAGCCUGGUGAUGCAUACAGUGGUUGGGAUUGAGGAAUUCAGCACGCCACCAGGCCGGGUUUUGACCACGUUCGUGCUUAGGAUGCUGGCAUAAUGGCUUUAAUUGACCCGUCUUGAAACACGG